rnacentral:rRNA from 1 species
GUGGGGAAUCUUAGACAAUGGGCGCAAGCCUGAUCUAGCCAUGCCGCGUGAGCGAUGAAGGCCUUAGGGUUGUAAAGCUCUUUCAGCUGGGAAGAUAAUGACGGUACCAGCAGAAGAAGCCCCGGCUAACUCCGUGCCAGCAGCCGCGGUAAUACGGAGGGGGCUAGCGUUGUUCGGAAUUACUGGGCGUAAAGCGCACGUAGGCGGACUGGAAAGUCAGGGGUGAAAUCCCGGGGCUCAACCCCGGAACUGCCUUUGAAACUCCCAGUCUUGAGUUCGAGAGAGGUGAGUGGAAUUCCGAGUGUAGAGGUGAAAUUCGUAGAUAUUCGGAGGAACACCAGUGGCGAAGGCGGCUCACUGGCUCGAUACUGACGCUGAGGUGCGAAAGCGUGGGGAGCAAACAGGAUUAGAUACCCCGGUAGUCC